GAGGAGGAGGAGGAGGAGAUGGUGAAGAGAGAGGCCCCGAACUCCCAGCCCCGAGGCUGGCCCCUACCUGGCGCCGCUCCAGUCCUUCAUCGCCGGCGCUGCCUCGAAGCCCCUCGCCCUAAGAAGCCAAGGGGCGGGAGGCUGAGGCGCUCUGCACAUGCUCAGACACCCUGCGCGCGGCCCGCCUUGCCUUGCCUUCCCUUCCCGUGCGGGUGAACGUCAUCUUCCCCAAAAGCGAAGGAAAGCAAUCGAGGGAAAGACGUGCGGUGGCAAAGGGCUGGCAUGACACAGGAGCUGCCUCCGACUAGCCUUCCAGGAAGAGCAGCGUGGACAUGCCACAGCAAGCGAGAAUGCGGAAACAAAUCCCUUGUUAUCAACAAGAGUGGAUUAGUUAUUUCUGAAGAAAACGAGCCUAGAAACCAAACACACAAAAGGAUUAGCACACGGAGACUGUGACCUUGUGGGUUUCCUUCGUUUCCUGAUGUAUGUCACCUCUCCACAGGGAACCGAAAUGCAUCUCUGAAGCAAAUCUUUAACCUUGAAGAGCUUUGCCAGUAGAGAGCAUGGAGUGCGAGUUUUAUCUCAAAACUUUAUCUGCAGAGUCCUUGGAUAAAUAGGCACAUCCAAGCUCUCAAACAGGUGUUUGCGGAAGCAACGCCUUUGAUCUUGGAGGAGUUUGAAGGAAGGUCUUGAGUAGAUGGUCUACCCAAUGUUCUGAGGUCUCCCCUGAUAAUCACCCUCCCCUUUUUUGCCUUGAAGGGGGGGAAUCUCAGGCACUGUUUAAUACUUGCUAGGUGAAUUGGUAGAAUUCUCGUUCAUGAGGCCAGGGGUGGGAAAUCUGUCACCCUCCAGAUUUUGCAGAAUAUUUUACAGUGGUAUAGCCAGUGAGGGAUGCUGAGAGCUAUAAUUUAGCAACAUCCUGAGGACCUCAGAUGUCCCUUCUUUCUUUCAAGCUCUUCCUCUGGUCCUCUAGAAAGUAACGUGGGAAUGCCUGUUACAUACAUGGGUAAAAUACACAAACACACACAAGCUUCCACAGUGACAUCAUGGUUCAGGGUUGGUUUAGAAACACACAGGCUCAAGUCCACUUCAAGUAUGGAAGCUCACUGAGGGACCUUCCAAGGCUGUUGCUGUGAAUUAAAAUUAGAGGAGGGGGGGCUAAGCUCCAAGAUGGAAAGAUGGAAUCUAAAGUUAACUAAUAAUAAUUUAUGUUCCACAUAAGCCUGGGUUGAACAGCUGGCUUUCCAAGGCUGCCUUCCUGUCCACCUUCUGGUUUUGACGGGCUGUUCUGUUUUGCUUCCUGUCUUAAUUGUUGAGCUUGACUCCUGCUUUUUCAUCUCUGCUGGACUUGCUUUUCAGACCAGUCUCCGAAAAGACCUUUCUCCUUAUAUAUCUAAACGUCCGUGAAAAUUGAUAUCCCUGCUUUGCAAAACGCAUGCAAAAAGCAGGACCUUCACUGUAAAGGUCCCCCAGGUGUGGCCUGAGUAAGAUCUGGUCCUUCUAAAAGGCAAAGAAACACUUGGGUUAAUAAUAGAGUCCCAUUCAUGGUCACUGAAAGCAGCUGCGUUACUCCAGCUGGAUUUCUGGGGUGUACCCACCUCACAUAUUUUGGCCCAGUAUGCCAAGCCAGUAGCUGGCUGUGACCUGUGAUUGCCUUCCUGACAUGAUUGAUUGGCUGAUUAUGUGACAUCAAGUCAUUUUUGACUCCUAGCGACCACAUAGAUAGAUUUUCUCCGUGAUGAUCUGUCCCUAACCUGUUCUUUCAAGCGUCCCAAUGGCACACUCAGGUCACCUGUCAUGAGAAUUGAUGCAAUUCUCUGCAAAGACGUGGGAGGGCAGCAGCCACAUACAGAGACACGCAGGAGUCUUCAGAUAGCUCUUGAAAGAGUGCCACUAUGUACGUACUGCUUUUUAUUUGGAUAGAGCAAAACGGACAUAGAGCGUUGCCAGUUAACCAAAUGAUCCAUAGUGUUAGCAACUGACCAGAUGAAGCUCAGCUGAAGACCGUGAGAUAGAAACCUUUCCAUUCUUUGCCAUUUCCUAGGUUGCCCAGAUGUUUGCAGAUCUGGCAGCUCUCUUUAAUAGCAACUCGGGAGAAAUCAGAAAAAGCCUUUCACGUCCAAAGAUAUACCAGAUCCUUCACUCAUUUCUGCCUAGCAACUUGUUGCUUGGGGCAAAGCAGCAGGAGCAAGUUUAACCAUUGGCAACCCCACGCAGGUGUUCACCUUCUCCACCUAGAGGGUUUGUCCCGAUUCUCUGCAGGAGGCAAUUCAAACAAACUUCUUUUCAUGAGCUCAAGCAUUUUACCCAAGAUUAAAUGGGCACGAUUUUUCUUGCGGGGCGCUUGCAUGAGAUUGAUCUAUCGGGGCUUGAUGGUCCCAUAGUGCCCGAGUUGGAUGGGCUUGGAAGAGUGGGGGAGUAACUCCAAAACCAAAAAUCAUUGGAAUCACUGACUUUCAUCUCUCAUUUCUGGCACUCUCUUUUUCCCUGUUCCUUCUUUUUUAAAAAUGAGGAUUGAAAAGAUCAUUCUAAAAUGUCUUUUCACACAGAUUAAUAGUGGAGACUUCGCCAUGUCUCCUCCAAAGCAAAUUUCUGUAUCCUAUGAACUUAUUUCCAAAAUAAAUUUGCAGAGGUUCAGAGUUUAAAAAAUACAGGGCUUCCCCAAACCUUUUGAGCGGGGGGUACUUUCGUAUUUCUCCUAUUUUUAACGCCACAUUCCUAAAUGCAGCUCUACGUCUUUGGGGGUGGGAGAUUCAGUUAUUGAUCCUACAGAGCAGGGCCUUCUUGGUGGCCCCAGUUUGGUGGAAUGAUUUCCCAGGGUCCUCCUAGACUGCUUUUGAAAUGUAUCUGUUUUCUAAAGCCUCCAUUUAGAGACAGGGAGAAGCAGAACCAGGGUGCAAACCUAUUCUGCUUCGAAUACGAAAGUUUGCAGAAUGUAAUCUGGGUGGUCUCAUUGUGCAAAAUGCAUCUUUUAAACUAAGCACUUAAGCAGUUGUGUAAAAGUGUGGAAGGCAUUUUAAGCAGAUACACAGGGCAGUACUUUCCUUUCUUGCUUCAGCAACGGCUGUAAACACCUUCAGGCAGCCAGUGUUUCAUUUGCUUUGCUUUACUAGUGCUCUCAUUAAAGUACUCAUCAUUCUAAUACAACAUAAAUUCUAAUUCCAAAACAGCACACAAAGUUUUUCCCAUAUCAGGAAAAGCAAACAGCUAAAGAUUAACAAGGGGAAACCUGAAAAGCGGCAAAGAGAGAAUGUAGACAUCUUUGGCAAGUGACGGGCUCUGCAAACUGAUGUCAGUCUCAAAGACAUGUCAGUUCCUGCCUUCCUUUUGUAAUAUGGGAAAAAACAAAGAGGGUGUUUGUUAUUGUGGUCACAUGUGAACUGGCACGGGACAGCGAGGCUGGCCCUGCCAUUAGGCAAAAUUUAUGGGACACCUCAGGCACCAGACACUGGAGCAGGAAGGCGUCCACUUUUUACAGGGUCUCUCUCACCCCCAAAAGUAUUCAUCUCUUUGCUCGAGUGCAUAUGUACAACUCUUGCCCCCAUUUCUCAUUUACCUGCCUUCUCCCAGAAAAAUCACUUUUUGCAGAGAAACGAACCUGUAAUGUGAAGCCAGGACUCCCAAAAAAUGAUUCAUGCUCUUGGCUAGAUGAUUUCUUUAUUCUCCAUGCUAACUGCUUCCAAAUAAAAUGUAAAGGCUUUCAUUAUGA